GAGUUUGAUCCUGGCUCAGAACGAACGCUGGCGGCGUGCUUAACACAUGCAAGUCGAACGUGAUCCGGAGCUUGCUCCGGUGAAAGUGGCGCACGGGUGAGUAACGCGUGGAUAAUCUGCCCUGGUAUCUGGGAUAACAUCUCGAAAGGGGUGCUAAUACCGGAUAAGCCUACGGACUCCUCGGAGUCUGCAGGAAAAGGUGGCCUCUAUUUAUAAGCUACCGUAUCAGGAUGAGUCCGCGUACCAUUAGCUAGUUGGUGGGGUAAUGGCCCACCAAGGCUACGAUGGUUAGCUGGUCUGAGAGGAUGAUCAGCCACACUGGAACUGAGACACGGUCCAGACUCCUACGGGAGGCAGUAGUGGGGAAUUUUGCGCAAUGGGGGAAACCCUGACGCAGCAACGUCGCGUGAGUGAUGAAGGCUUUCGGGUCGUAAAGCUCUGUCAGAGGGGAAGAAAUGAGACUGGCUAAUAUCCAGUUUUCUUGACGGUACCCUCAAAGGAAGCACCGGCUAACUCCGUGCCAGCAGCCGCGGUAAUAC
rnacentral:rRNA from 1 species